rnacentral:tRNA from 1 species
GCCUGAGUGGCUCAGUUGGUGGAGCAUGUGACUCUUGAUCUCAGGUUGUAGGUUUGAGCCCCAUCUUGGGUA